rnacentral:rRNA from 1 species
CAAAUCAGGUAGGACUACCCGCUGAACUUAAGCAUAUCAAUAAGCGGAGGAAAAGAAACUAACAAGGAUUCCCCUAGUAACUGCGAGUGAAGCGGGAAAAGCUCAAAUUUGUAAUCUGGCGGUCUUGGGCCGUCCGAAUUGUAAACUAGAGAAGUGUUAUCCGCGCUGGACCGUGUACAAGUCCCCUGGAAUGGGGCGUCAUAGAGGGUGAGAAUCCCGUCUUUGACACGGACUACCAGGGCUUUGCGAUGCGCUCUCAAAGAGUCGAGUUGUUUGGGAAUGCAGCUCAAAAUGGGUGGUAAAUUCCAUCUAAAGCUAAAUAUUGGCGAGAGACCGAUAGCGAACAAGUACCGUGAGGGAAAGAUGAAAAGAACUUUGGAAAGAGAGUUAAACAGUACGUGAAAUUGCUGAAAGGGAAACGCUUGAAGUCAGUCGCGUUGGCCAGGGAUCAGCCUUACUUUUGUGGGGUGUACUUCCUUGUCGACGGGUCAGCAUCAGUUUUGGCUGCUGGAUAAAGGCUGGGGGAAUGUGGCAUCCUCGGAUGUGUUAUAGCCCUUGGUUGGAUACAGUGGCUGGGACUGAGGAACUCAGCACGCGCAAGCUGUGCUUAGGAUGCUGGCAAA